CCUACGGGCGGCAGCAGUGGGGAAUAUUGCACAAUGGGGGAAACCCUGAUGCAGCGACGCCGCGUGAGUGAAGAAGUAUUUCGGUACGUAAAGCUCUAUCAGCAGGGAAGAAAAUGACGGUACCUGACUAAGAAGCCCCGGCUCACUACGUGCCAGCAGCCGCGGUAAUACGUAGGGGGCAAGCGUUAUCCGGAUUUACUGGGUGUAAAGGGAGCGUAGACGGCAGUGCAAGUCUGGAGUGAAAUCCCAUGGCUUAACCAUGGAACUGCUUUGGAAACUGUGCAGCUAGAGUGCAGGAGAGGUAAGCGGAAUGCCUAGUGUAGCGGUGAAAUGCGUAGAUAUUAGGAGGAACACCAGUGGCGAAGGCGGCUUACUGGACUGUAACUGACGUUGAGGCUCGAAAGCGUGGGGAGCAAACAGGAUUAGAUACCCCUGUAGUC
rnacentral:rRNA from 1 species